AACAGGUGUUGCUGAGGUCCGCUGGUAAAUGGAGCCUGCGUGCUGGGAGGAGACGACGCGGCUGUUCAUUUCCGUGACCAAAUGCCUAAAGCUUCGGGACCGGCUCCAACUCCUCAGGACCUGUACAGCCUGCCUGGAGCCGGCUGUUUAGAAAAAGAGGGAGAAGAUCUGAUCCUGGGUCCUUCACGGCGUCAUCUGUAAAGCAGGUCAAAGUCACAGCUCCCUGGGUGCGGUGUAGCUAGCCAGGAGCAUGCUGGGAGGGCCUGACAGGAAGAUGGUGCUGGACCAAAGCUACAGU